CAGGCGCUCUACUUCCCGGCCGGCCACGAGAAAGGGCUCCGGUAUCCUCAGCACGCUUCAGGCCUCGCCCUGGAGCACCCGCUGGCAGAUGCUCUUGGAGCUGCGUCGGGCGCGGAUGGGUGAUGCGUGUAGAGCACCUUCGUCCCUAAAGCUUAACCUCACUCAAAGUUCUGGAGACUGGAAGUCGGACAUCAAGGUGUCGCCGGCAGCUCUGAGCUUCCUCUGAAGGCUCUGGAAGAGAAUGCAUUCCUUGCCCCUUCCACCUUCUGCGAGCUGUCUGCAUUCCUUGGUGUUCCUUCUCUUGUGGCUGCAUCACUCCAAUCUCUGCCUCCAUCUAUGGCUUCUCCUCUGUGGGUGGGGCUGGAGGUUUGCUGAAAUGGACGGGGAGGGAAGCCAGGCCGGAGGAGUCCUGGGAAACCCACUGAGUCCAGAAACGUGUGGAGGGCAGAGGACCCUGCUCCCUGCCCUCGUCCCCCAGGAGAGUGGCACUGCUUUAAAAUAGUGGGUCUGCUCUCCUUGCAAGAAAAAAGUACGACUAAAUAAAUACAAUGUGCAGACUAAGACCUUCAAGUGACUUCAUCGUUUUCUGCCCCCUGGCUCGGCAGAUCCACAGGCAGGGGAGAGAGUGAGGGCCACGUGGCCCCCCCGUUGCUGUGGUCUUGGGCAGGAGCUACCCAUCGACGUACUGGGUGAGCCCUCCCACCGCCAGGGACAUGGGCAGGAUCACGGGACAGUGCCACUGGUUACUGGUAUAAUCACAUGACAAUCAAACACCUUUUCCUGAGUCACACCAUGGCUUCCCUCCUCUGGUUAGCUACACCUCCUCUUCCUGCAGCUGCCUCUUACAGUUUCUUUUCAUUUCUCCUCGCCCCAACCCGUCUUUUUUAAAGAAAUGAUAUAACUGUUCAUAGACCUGUUUCUGCAAAAUACUUAGUGGCUCCCCCAGUUCUCUUUCCUCUACGUCAGAUGGUCAGGGGGUUACCAGGAAUGUCGGGUCCACGGAAAGCCGGGAGGGUGGGCAGGUCUGUCCUUCCUCCUGCUCUGGGAAUGGGGGUCCCCACCCUCAGCCCGGCCUGUGGAACAGCCCCUGUUCCUAACCUCCCACAUUUCUGGUGCUCAGGAGACUUCAGAAAUGGCUCCUGAUGAAAACAGAGCUGGCGCUUGGAGGAAGACAAAAUACCGCUGGGACACAGAUUGUCCACGGAGUACAUUCUAAUAUCUUAUUAGGUAUCUGAAUCUGUUAGGAAAAAAA